UUUUAUUAUUCUGACAGGUUAAUACUUCAACUCCUAAAAAGAUCAAAGAAAACGAUAAAAUUAAUGACAUUUACAAAUAUGUCUUUCAAAGGCCAAACACUGUUUUCGGUGAUACAGGCUGGUAUGGUUGCGCCGAUCACAAUGUUGAAAUUAUCACAAAUUCCUACGAGAAAGAGGAUCCCGAGGUGAACUGGUUGUAUGUUUAUGUAAAAUCGAAUACAAAUUUAUUUGUUGAAGCGGAUACUUAUGCCCAUCUGAGUGCUGUUGCUGGCGGUAGCAUCGUAAUACCAUGCAGACCUACAUCGCCAGAUCUAAUACCAAUUUUAUCUGAUAAUAACGAAGAAGAAUUAAAGAAUGCAUCAUUUGAUCCCAGAAUUGGUUUCACGAUUAGGAACCUACUAGUAAAAGAUAGCAAUUGGUACAAGUGCUCGAUAGAGAAGGACGACGAAGAGUA